AAAGAACAUCCCGUGCGGCAAUGGAAUUCAUUACAGGAAUAAUCAUCAAUCAAAUUUUAAAAUAUAUAUAUAUAAUUAGAAUGUCUUGUAUCAACUGGUAUUCACAUUUUUCAUUCUGGGAUACAGGUGCAAUAUUAAGUAAAAUAUGUGAAUUGAAAUGUAUUGAAAAAACCUCUUUAAGACUUACUAGCCUUCCUAAUGUUCAUUGAUUGGAAUGUUUGUAUCUGGUGCAAGUGUGGCACACAGAUACAUCUCCCUAUUAGCAGAAGCCUGUGGCCUUUUUGACCUGAUGAAAUAGCCUUGAGUUUCUCCUUUACUUUUGAAUGUCUCUUAGCUAUUUCAAGUACAGUGGCAUAAAACUCAAUGUCCUGUGUAUUUAUGGUAGGAAAUUGGAGGUGUGUAAGCAAAGUGCCUAAAGACUGGUGAAAAGGACUAAAAACGGGUAAAAUAACUUGGACCUUAUGCGCUGAUGAUCAGAUCUUUCUCGUGCUUGUAUUAUAGCUUCUGUGUGUUUCAGAUGAACCCAUUUGGGUCUGAACAUUGAUUCUGUUGCUUCAGUUUUCCACUGGGUUCCAACAGCAUGUGGAGCAGGAAUGAAGCAGAGCUAGGUCCAACACGAAAUCCAACAUGUUGUCAGGCCCUGGGAGGGAUAUCAGAGCUGUCACUGCACCUACGUCCUUCAGCUUUUCGGCCUAUCACAGGUGACUCUGGGUAUGAGAUUUUUUUGUUAUCUAACAUAUAACGUUACCACAUGUCAUGUUCAUGUGAAGAGGAAAACACAGACAUUUCUCUUUGGUAUAGUCAUAUGGUAUAGUAUUUAUAGUAUAGUAUUUACACAAGUUCCAUUGCCACUGAUGAUGCAUAUAUUUAAUGUUAUUUAUGCUGUACUUUACUGCUUUGGGGGUCAGCAUUUCAACAAGUGAUACCGGGGAAUUUUCACCAUACUAUGACACUGAAAGACCAAGAAACAUCGCUCAUACUUCACUUUUCUCUUUCCAUCAGAACUUCAUACAGUAGCUGGGAUUCAUCUGUUAGCCUUUAACUGUCCAUGACUCACUGUCCCCAAACUUGGAAGCAGGAACCAUGUAUUUCAGCCGGCGCUUGUCACGGUGAUGACUCACCGCCGGGACAGAAACAGGCAUGCGCUGCGAUCUUCCCGCAUUCGGGCUCCCUGCUCGCCGACACUCGACACCUGUAAACCGGUACGUGCUCACAGCUCACUGCAGCGCGACGGGAGCGUGUCCCUAAUGGCCGCGGUCACUGCAGUGCCACCGCGCACACCUGCCAUGGCCUCGGAUCGCCACGACACGAGGAGCGGCACACGUGUAAUAGCUUGGGCACAAAUCACUGCAGCACCACACAGCGUGCAACUCGGCCGGUACCGCCCCUGCAGUUUACUCCCGUUCAUGACAGUGUCUGUAUCUGUUCAGCCUGUAGGUCUUACCCUUAUAACUGUAUCAGCUUAUAUGUAUUCUGUACAUGUAGAUCCAGCCUCACUGGCAUAAGUCUGUAUAUCUGUGAAAUGUUUUCUUCAACAUGGUCAUUUUCUGAAAUACUGCAGAUUUAACUUAUUGCUGUGGAUUUACUGACUCACAUCCACUAUGGAGGGUUGUCGACACUCACAGCUAAAAAAAAAAAAAAGAGAGAGACACUACAUGCAGGGUAAAAGGCAGGCCGACAUACCAUAACCAUCUAAUAAGCAGGCUGUUGUCCUUUGUCCCCAUUAAAGGAAGGACAUUAUAUAACAUCGAGAGGUCACCAACUUUUUAAAUAUUCCAUUGUUGUGCUUGACCGAUCACCACUCUCCACUCUUACGGCACUCCUUCUGGGAAAUGUGUUUAUUUAAUAGCCAACGCAGAAACACUUUCACUAUUCCCUGGCACCUAUUGUUUAACCAGGCCACAGCCAUGUGACCAACAGAGUUUGGAAUUCCCCUGCAAUACCAGGAAAGGUUUAGUACAGUACACAUGACAGAUUAAUGAAUAGGAGUCAUAGGAGAAAGCGAAACAUUUUUGUGAACAAAUGCAUGAUGCAACAAUUGCUAGGUUGGUGCAAAAAUAUAUGAAACCUAUAUGACUGUUCCUAGGUUGGUGCUCUGAUAAAAUGCAAUUUAUGCCAAUACUGAUUCUUAAGGUUAGCUUAAGGUUAGUGUAAGGGGUAAAGUCCAUGCCCAUUGCGCUUAAUCAAGUCCUCACUAGUGUAGCGAUGCAUGGAGGAUUGUUUGUACUGGCCUAGUAACUUACUGCAUACUGUGUGCGGGGUUUAUCCUUGCUGUAUACGGGGUGUAUCCAUGCUGAGCACAUGAUAACCAUGAAGAAUAGUUUCUGUUGAUAAAAUUUCUGUUGUAAAAAAAAAAAAAAACAUCCUAGCAAAAUACAUACAUAUAUAUUAUAUUCAAAUUCUGAUUUAGAAAAAUCUAUCUGACAGUUUUGGCGGGUCAUUUCUCCUAACUGCUUGUAGCACCGAACUAGCAUGACAGUUUAUUUACUGGCAAAAGUGCAGUCUGUCUGCCGAAAUCCACCAGGUAGCUUUCAGGCAGAUACUAAAGGAAACCCUCCUCUUUGGUCGCUUAGUGUUUUUGGACAUAUGAAGGCAUAUGACAAAGCUACUUCGAUAGAACCGUACAGUGACAGGGGGCAGUUAACAGACUACAGCAUGGACAUCACACAUCUGGGACAGAAGGCAGUGAUUGUGAGAAAUGACAGCCACCCCCCCCCCCCCCCCAGGACAGUUAUAACCUUGAACCAAAGAAGAUGAAGAGAGUGGCAAGUAUGAAGAACUCAAGAUACGGGCUGUGUGAGGUCAAGGAGCUCACCAUCAGGGAUAAGGGCUUCUAUUAUUGCUUUGGUUUUGAGCCAGUUUGCACCAGACAAGUCUGUACUCGAUG